UACGGGGUGAGCAAGCGUUGUUCGGAUUUACUGGGCGUAAAGGGCGCGUAGGCGGUAGCACAAGUCAGUUGUGAAAUCUCCGGGCUUAACUCGGAACGGCCAAGUGAAACUGUCAUGCUAGAGUGCAGAAGGGGCAAUCGGAAUUCUUGGUGUAGCGGUGAAAUGCGUAGAUAUCAAGAGGAACACCUGAGGUGAAGACGGGUUGCUGGGCUGACACUGACGCUGAGGCGCGAAAGCCAGGGGAGCAAACGGG
rnacentral:rRNA from 1 species